UACGAAGGGGGCUAGCGUUGUUCGGAAUCACUGGGCGUAAAGCGCACGUAGGCGGACUUUCAAGUCAGGGGUGAAAUCCCCGGGCUCAACCCGGGAACUGCGUCCGAUACUGGCAGGCUUGAAUCCGGGAGAGGGAUGCGGAAUUCCAGGUGUAGCGGUGAAAUGCGUAGAUAUCUGGAGGAACACCGGUGGCGAAGGCGGCAUCCUGGACCGGCAUUGACGCUGAGGCGCGAAAGCCAGGGGAGCAAACGGG
rnacentral:rRNA from 1 species